rnacentral:lncRNA from 1 species
CUGUGCAUUUCCUGCUAAUUUAUCUGCCCGUUUCCAACAGAAAAUUCUAAAUCUUCUGUUUUAAUUCCGAUUUCAGCACAGGUCAUUUUCAACUUAUAUUUCACUUCUCCAAAUUCAAUAAAAAUAGUAUCUCAUACUACUUUAUUUAUUUCUAUUUUUAUAAUUUAAAUUCGGUAUAUUACAUUACACCGCAACCUUACCGGAACCAUUUAAAUGUACACUGUAACUUCAUAUUUUUAAAAGUUCGGUACCUUACAUGGGAACUAUUUUUAAUAGUUCUCACGCCCCUGUUUUGUGGUUUUCGUU